rnacentral:rRNA from 1 species
UACGUAGGUGACCAGCGUUGUCCGGAUUUACUGGGCGUAAAGAGCGCGCAGGCGGUCGUUCAAGUCGAGUGUGAAAGCCCCCGGCUCAACUGGGGAGGGUCAUUCGAUACUGAUCGACUCGAAGGCAGGAGAGGGAAGCGGAAUUCCCGGUGUAGUGGUGAAAUGCGUAGAUAUCGGUAGGAACACCAGUGGCGAAGGCGGCUUCCUGGCCUGUUCUUGACGCUGAGGCGCGAAAGCGUGGGGAGCGAUCCGG